GAUGAACGCUGGCGGCGUGCCUAAUACAUGCAAGUCGAGCGAACGGACGAGAAGCUUGCUUCUCUGAUGUUAGCGGCGGACGGGUGAGUAACACGUGGAUAACCUACCUAUAAGACUGGGAUAACUUCGGGAAACCGGAGCUAAUACCGGAUAAUAUUUUGAACCGCAUGGUUCAAAAGUGAAAGACGGUCUUGCUGUCACUUAUAGAUGGAUCCGCGCUGCAUUAGCUAGUUGGUAAGGUAACGGCUUACCAAGGCAACGAUGCAUAGCCGACCUGAGAGGGGGGUAGGCCACACUGGAACUGAGACACGGUCCAGACUCCUACGGGAGGCAGCAGUAGGGAAUCUUCCGCAAUGGGCGAAAGCCUGACGGAGCAACGCCGCGUGAGUGAUGAAGGUCUUCGGAUCGUAAAACUCUGUUAUUAGGGAAGAACAGAUGUGUAAGGAACUGUGCACAUCUUGACGGUACCUAAUCAGAAAGCCACGGCUAACUACGUG
rnacentral:rRNA from 1 species